UUCCCAGGCUAGGGGUCUAAUCGGAGUUGGAGCCAGUGGCCUGUGCCACAGCCACAGCAACGAGGGAUCUGAGCCACGUCUGCAACCUACACCACAGCUCACGGCAAUGCCAGAUCCUUAACCCACUGAGUGAGGCCAGGGAUCGAACCCUCAACCUCAUGGUUCCUAGUCGGAUUUGUUAACCACUGAGCCACGACAGGAAUUCCUAUUUUUUUUCCUUAUUGAACUUUUUUUAUGGUUGAAGAGAGAUUGUAGAUUUUAAAAACUUGUAAAUCACAGUAAAUUGAUGACACAUUUGUCUUGAUAAUGUGACGUAGAGCAUAUGAGACAUCUUCCCUGUGUUGCCUUGAGUGAUACCUAUUGCUAUUUCAUUGUAUUAUAUUUUAAUGUUUAAAUUUCAAAAAGUGGAAACCCAACAUGAUCUAAUCUGAGCUUAUAGUGUUAAUGAGACCUAAAAACAUUGACCAUGAUUGCAUUUUUAAAGGAAGGAUAUGGGCUCGCUCAAGAUAAUUAUGUUAGAGUAACCCUACUUCUUCUUAGAUAAGAUUGUUAGGCUGUGGGUUGACAGAAUGCAGAAUGUACAGCAUAACUGGAUUUCAGCCAGAUGCUUUAUAACAUUUCUCUGUGUUGACAAGGGAGAGCUGUGGGCUGGAUGACCAUGAAGUUAGAUGAUUGGUUGAGUAGCAUCUCUGAUAAUGAGUAAUGAAUUGACAAACUGGAGAAACAUUUCCAGUGAUAGGCUGAAAGUCAUUGUCCAUCUUUUUGUCCUGAUGUGAAUGAAAACACUGACACCACGCUUGUCAAGUUUUUCGAUGGGAUGAAAUUUGGGGGUUAAUUUUUGAAAACAUUUCUGACUGACAUGGUAGGCCAAGGCUAAUGUAAUAACUCAAUGGAGCUUGAUGUGAAGCCCUGUAAAGGGGUUGAGGAAAGGGGUUCAGAAAACAGCUGCAUAGUCUUAGGGAUGAGGGAGAUGUGGUUGAAUACGAACAAGUUAGGUAUUUUAAUUAUUGUAAUGAACUCCGUAUGUAUAGAAAAUGUAAUGUGCCUACAGGAAAGGCUUCAUAGAAUCAUCAGCUGGAUGACUGGGGGGAGAAGGUUUGGAAGAGGCAAAGUGUUAGGUACAGCUACUAUGGAAAACAGUGACCUCAAGCAAUUAAACCUAAAAUCACGAUAGGACCCAGAUAUUACAUUCCUGUAUAUGUACCCAAAAGAACUGAAAACAGACACUUGUACAUGAAUGUUCAUAGUAGUACUUACAUAGCAAUUUACGUUAUCAAAAAUGAAGAAACAGCCCAAUUGUAAUCAACUGAUGAAUGGAUAACCAAAAAUAUGAGUAUAAUGAAAUUUCAUUCAGUCAUAGAAAUGAAGUACUGGAGCUCUCUGGUGGCCUAGCAGUUAAUAAUCUGUCAUCGUCACUGCUGUAGUUUGGGUUUGAUUCCUGGCCUGGCACCUUUUGCAUGGCGCAGGUGUGAACUUUUGCAUGGCGAAGGUGUGGCCAAAAAAAAUGAAGUACUGAUAAGUGCUUCAAAGUGCAUAAACCUCAAAUAUUAUGCUUAGUGAAUAAAGCUGGACACAGUAUCACAUAUGUCAGUCUGUUGAUAUGAAACAUCCAGGACAGGUAAAUCCAUGGAGACAUAAAUCAGUUUAGUGGUUGCCGGGGUAUGGGGCUUGGAGACUGACUGCUUAAUGGGUAUGGUUUUCAUUUGGGGUUAUAAAAAUAUUUUGGAACUAGAUAGAAGUAAUUUUGGUUGCAAAACAUUGUGAAUGUACUAUAUGCCAUUGAAUUGUACACUUUAUUUAUUUAUUUAUUUUUAUUUUUGUCUUUUCUGCCAUUUCUUGGGCCGCUCCUGUGGCAUAUGGAGGUUCCCAGGCUAGGGGUCCAUCGGAGCUGUAGCCACCAGCCUAUACCAGGGCCACAGCAAUGUGGGAUCUGAGCCAUGUCUGUAACCUACACCACAGCUCAUGGCAAUGCCGGAUGCUUAACCCACUGAGCAAGGCCAGGGAUCGAACUUGCCACCUCAUGGUUCCUGGUCGGAUUCGUUAACCACUGAGCCACGACGGGAACUCCUGAAUUGUACACUUUAAAAGGUUCAUUUUAUUUGUAUUCUACCUUAACUUUUAAAAGUGUCAGUACUUAUAAAUAAAUUGAAUAGUAUUGUGAGUCCAGAAAUAAACCCUAUGAUCAAUUUUUUUUUUUAAUAAUUUGACAAAGGUGCCAAGACAAUUCAAUAGGGAAAGAAGAGCCUUUUCCAUAGUGCUGAGGCAUCUGGAGAUCCCCUUGCAAGAUGAAUUUGAAACCAUUCCUCAGACCACACAUAAAAAAUAACAAAAAGUGGAUCAUAGACCUAAAUGAAACAGCUAAAACUAUAACAUUCCUAAAAGAAAAUAUAAAUCUUAGCGAUCUUGGGUUAGGCAAAGCCAUCUUUAGUAUGACACUAAAAGCAAACAACAAAAGAUAAAAUAGGUAAACUGGACUCCCCCCAAUUUUAGAAACGUUUGUGCCUCAGAGGAUACCAUCAAGAAAGUGAAAAGGGAGUUCCCGUCAUGGCUCAUAGGUUAACGAAUCCGACCAGGAACCAUGAGGUGGCGGAUUCGAUCCUUAGCCUCGCUCAGUGGGUUAAGGAUCCGGCGUUGCCGUGAGUUGUGUAGGUUGCAGACAUGGCUCGGAUCCCGCAUUGCUGUGGCUGUGGGGUAGGCCAGCAGCUACAGCU
rnacentral:lncRNA from 1 species